rfam:Clostridium hathewayi CAG:224 genomic scaffold, scf101
GCUGGUGCUUGAAAUAGAUCACAGGGGAACAUUCCUGGGCGGUAGUGACGUGAUUGCAAGACGUGAUUACCGUUUACAUA